AUUGUAUAUCAACACGGAAAAUGUUUUAUAUUUGUUAAAUAAUAUAUAAGAUAUAUAUAUAAUUGCUAUAAAGUGCAAUCAUCAUAAAUCGCUUAUUUAUCGGCCAUAAAUAAAAUAAAAUAAAAAACAUACAAUUUUCUGACGUUCACCUACACCAGGAGUCAGAAUUAUGAGAAGAAUUACCACUCUCCCUAAAAACGGCUUUUGCUCAAACGUUGUUGUAAUAAGGGGGCGACAGAACAUCUAUAUAUAAGCGUCCUGUCUAAUAUAACUAAUAUAGGUUACUGCACCUAAGUUUCUCAACUUAAAUUAUGUCUGCAAUCUUGUAGCAGACAUAUUUAAUUUAAUUUAAUUUAUUAACUUUGCCAGAUUUAAACAACGUUAACACAAAAAACUGGCAGGGCAAUCGCAACAGCUUGCGCCAAUUACUGCGAUCCCUAAAUGUUAGACAAAUACACUAUAUACGUACAUAGAAAGAAUCAUUUACAAGCGAAUUAUCAGAUGCAACUUUUCACAUUGCGACCCGCAGAACCACUUCCAUUUUUGGAAGCUGACUGAGUCAGAAGACGUUUGAAACCCUCACAAUCCUAAACCUUCAGCAAAACCUGAAUAGGCCCCAUAGAUACCAAUGUGAAAAGGUACUUCUGAAAACUAAAUCUAAAAACAACACGUUAUCGGCCUUGUCAGG